UACAGAGGGUGCGAGCGUUGUUCGGAAUUAUUGGGCGUAAAGGGCGCGUAGGCGGUGCGGUAAGUCACCUGUGAAAUCUCCUGGCUCAACUGGGAGCUUGCAGGCGAAACUGCCGUGCUGGAGUGUGGGAGAGGUGAGUGGAAUUCCCGGUGUAGCGGUGAAAUGCGUAGAUAUUGGGAAGAACACCGGUGGCGAAGGCGGCUCACUGGCACGUUUCUGACGCUCAGGCGCGACAGCGUGGGGAGCAAACAGG
rnacentral:rRNA from 1 species